UGGUCAUGUUUAGAGACCGAUUCUGCAAAUAUAUUGGGACCGCGCGGUGUUUUCAUGGAGGUCUUCCUGUGAAGACGUCAGAAGUACACACAGAAACUAGUUGCAUCUCACCCUGAUGAUCUCUUAUGUAUAAUAUUUUAUCAUGUUACUUUGUAAUCAAACAUCUAAGAUGCGCUAUUGAGCGCAUUAUCAGCUAAUAAAGGGCAUCUGUCAUCAUUGUGUA
rnacentral:lncRNA from 1 species